rnacentral:rRNA from 1 species
AACUGGGAUUUGAUACCCCACUAUUCAUGGCUGUAAACUAAUAGAAUUUACCGGAGUACUACGAAUUAAAAAAUUUAAAACUCAAAGGACUUGGCGGUGCUUUAGACCACUUAGGGGAACCUGUCUCGUAAUCGACAAUCCACGAUAGACCUGACCUUUUUUUGCAGACAGCCUGUAUACCGUUGUCGUCAGGUAACUUUUAAAAAUUUAUAAGUUAGCAAACAAACCUAAUAAAUUAAAACGUCAGAUCAAGGUGCAGCCGAUAAAAAGGAGAGGAUGGGUUACAGUUAUUAAAGUUAUAACACGAACGAUUGUAAGAAUUUAGAAUCCGAAGGAGGACUUAAAAGUAAGAUAGAAUAAAUAAGCAUUCUGAAUCUGGCUCUGAGGCGUGCACACACCGCCCGUCACCCUAA